GGGAUAACUCCGGGAAACCGGGGCUAAUACCGGAUAAUAUUUUGAACCGCAUGGUUCAAUAGUGAAAGACGGUUUCGGCUGUCACUUAUAGAUGGACCCGCGCCGUAUUAGCUAGUUGGUAAGGUAACGGCUUACCAAGGCGACGAUACGUAGCCGACCUGAGAGGGUGAUCGGCCACACUGGAACUGAGACACGGUCCAGACUCCUACGGGAGGCAGCAGUAGGGAAUCUUCCGCAAUGGGCGAAAGCCUGACGGAGCAACGCCGCGUGAGUGAUGAAGGUCUUCGGAUCGUAAAACUCUGUUGUUAGGG
rnacentral:rRNA from 1 species